UCAGUGAAUCAUCGAAUCUUUGAACGCACAUUGCGCCCGCUGGUAUUCCGGCGGGCAUGCCUGUUCGAGCGUCAU
rnacentral:rRNA from 2 species